rnacentral:lncRNA from 1 species
CUUGGCUAAUGGACAUCCGCAAAGUGAUGGAAGCAGUGGCUUGGGAAGCAUGUGUACACUAGGGCUUGCCGUUUCUUGCUGCUCUUGGAACUCUGAGCAUACGAUGAGCCCAAGAUACCUGCUGGAGGAUAGGGGGAAGGUGGAGGAGAAGCGAGGUCCCCCAGUCAGCAGCUGACUGUAGACUCAUGAAUGAGCCUUAUCUGAGAUCAGCUGAGCCAGCCCAGGCAGGAGAAUCUGCUAGCAGAAUCCAGAAAAAAUCAUCACCCAGCAGAAUCGUGGACUAAUUUGUUAUGCAGAAAGACAAACUGAGCCCUUCCAAUUGACAGAUGAGGAGGCCAAGGCACAGAGAUAUUUAGUAACUUGUCAGGGUCACACAGGCUUGAAGCAGGGAACUAGGAUCUGAACAUACGCCUGUCAGAUCCCAAGUAAAACCAUAUAACCACUGUGCUUUACUGCUCAGUAAUCCCUCUGGGGGUGGGAAGGCAUCCUAAGUUCACCUCUGAGGACAGAAAGCAGAAUGUGAUCAUUGCUAGAGGAUAGUAGAAGAGAGGGUUGGCAGGUAAUCAUUAGCUAGAAUGUGACAAAAGCAGGAGAGAGAAGUGUGCAUCCUCUGAGCAAGGUUUCUUAACCUUGGGACCCUAGACAUUUUGGGUCAGAUCGUUCUUGGCCCUGGGAGACUGCCCAUUGUAAUAUAUUUACCAGCAUCCCUGGUCUCCCUCCCUAGAUGCCAGUGAUAACCUGCAUCCUUGAGGUGUGACAACAAAAAAUGUCUCCAGACAUUGCCAAAGGUCCCUUGGGAAGAAAAAUCACUUCUGGCUGAAAACUACUGCUCUAUCGUGAUGAAGCCAACAGGACUGACUCACUGUUUUCUCGAUGAGUUCCAGGAGAAAGAUCUUUCUGAAAAGCUCCACCUUAUCUCCUGGAAGAGACAUAUGCCCCAGAAUGAAAAAACCUUUGUGGUCAUCCUGGGGUUAGGGUCUGAAGAACUAGUAGGCCAGAUGGCUGAGCUGGGUGAUCACACCUCCACGCAUCUCCUCUGUGGACUGACUGUGCACUAGCCUGUGUGCCAGGACUUCAUGACCACACCACCACACAUCUCCUCUGUGGGCACUGACUGUGCACUAGCCUGUGUGCUGGGACAUCAUCUGCAGCACCCAGCUCACCCUCAACACAGUCCUGAGAGGUAAGUAUUACCAGUUCCAUUUUACAGACAGGGAAAGUGAGGCUCAGAGAAAGGAAAUUUUGCCCAUGUCUCA